rnacentral:rRNA from 1 species
GACGAACGCUGGCGGCGUGCUUAACACAUGCAAGUCGAACGGAAAGGCCCUGCUUUUGUGGGGUGCACGAGUGGCGAACGGGUGAGUAACACGUGAGUAACCUGCUCUUGACUUUGGGAUAACUUCAGGAAACUGGGGCUAAUACCGGAUAGGAGCUCCUGCUGCAUGGUGGGGGUUGGAAAGUUUCGGCGGUUGGGGAUGGACUCGCGGCUUAUCAGCUUGUUGGUGGGGUAGUGGCUUACCCAGGCUUUGACGGGUAGCCGGCCUGAGAGGGUGACCGGCCACAUGGGGACUGAGGUACGGCCCAGACUCCUACGGGAGGCAGCAGUGGGGAAUAUUGCACAAUGGGCGGAAGCCUGAUGCAGCAACGCCGCGGGCGGGAUGACGGCCUUCGGGUUGUAAACCGCUUUCGCCUGUGACGAAGCGUGAGUGACGGUAAUGGGUGAAGAAGCACCGGCUAACUACGUG